UACGAAGGGGGCUAGCGUUGCUCGGAAUUACUGGGCGUAAAGGGCGCGUAGGCGGAUGGCACAGUCAGAUGUGAAAUUCCCGGGCUUAACCUGGGGGCUGCAUUUGAUACGUGUUGUCUUGAAUCCGGGAGAGGUGAGUGGAAUUCCGAGUGUAGAGGUGAAAUUCGUAGAUAUUCGCAAGAACACCAGUGGCGAAGGCGGCUCACUGGCCCGGUACUGACGCUGAGGUGCGAAAGCGUGGGGAGCAAACAGG
rnacentral:rRNA from 1 species